rnacentral:tRNA from 1 species
GCACUGGUGAUUCAGGGGUAGAAUUCUCGCCUUCCAUGUGGAAGACCAGGGCUCAAUUCCUGUCCAAUGCA